ACAUCCUCCCUAUUCCUCUUUGCCUACUUAUCCUUUAAAACCCAGUUCAAAUAUCACCUUCUCAAAGAAGCUCUCUCUGAUCCUCAUCCUAACCCUUUGGUAAUGACUUUUCUUCCCCUAGGACCUCGAAGAAAGCUUUUCCUGUGGCUCCCUAUUGCACCUGUCAGAUCUUUCUAAGGACAGCAUGGUAAAAAGAACAUUGGACGCAUUGUCAACAGCCUUGAGCUAUCUUCCCAGGGAUCUUAUUCAACUUAACCAGCCACCUUCUCUAGAAGCAAAAAGUGGAACCUUUUUUGCUACCAGUGCCCACAUUUGCAGGAUGGAACUAACUGACCUAUUUUGCCUUCAUUACCCCUGUGACCCAACCUCUUUGGACCUCAAUUUUUGGGUAUGUAAAAUAAGGUGGCUGGAAGAGAUGAUUUCUAAGGUCUCUUUCAGCUUGAUAUCUAGAUACUAUGAUCUCUUAAAGUUUCUUCUGACUCUGAGAUUCAGUGAUUCUGUGAAACCUCACCCACUAAUUACUAAACAUGACACAUUUACCUAUCCUGAUACUUUGCCUGUGAUGCCACACAGGUUAGAAAUAUAACUUUCAGACUUAACUACU